rnacentral:rRNA from 1 species
AUUGAACGCUAGCGGGAUGCCUUACACAUGCAAGUCGAACGGAGUGGCGAACGGGGGAGUAAUGUAUCGGAACGUGCACAGUAGCGGGGGAUAACUACGCGAAAGCGUAGCUAAUACCGCAUACUAUUGGAGCGGCCGGUAUCGGGUUUGCUAGUGGGGGGGGUAGGGGCUCACCAAGGCGACGAUCCGUAGCUGGUUUGGGAGGACGACCAGCCACACUGGUACUGAGAAACGGCCCAGACUCCUACGGGAGGCAGCAGGUGGGAAUUUUGCACUAUGGGGGAAACCCUGAUCCAGCCAUCCCGCGUGUGAGAUGAAGGCCUUCGGGUUGGAAAGCACUUUUGGCAGGAAAGCGGUACCUGCAGAAUAAGCACCGGCUAACUACGUGCCAGCAGCCGCGGUAAUAC